GAGAGCCUCGUGCACCGAAAGGUGCCCGCGGGGUUCGGCGGGGAGCCAGCGCGGCAAAGGACCUGUGCCUACAGACACCUCGCCGCGCGGCUUACCCGGU
rnacentral:ncRNA from 1 species